CAGCAGCCGCGGGAAUACGAGGGGAGCUAGCGUUAUUCGGAAUUACUGGGCGUAAGGCGCACGUAGGCGGCUUUGUAAGUUAGAGGUGAAAGCCCAGAGCUCAACUCUGGAAUUGCCUUUAAGACUGCAUCGCUUGAAUCCAGGAGAGGUGAGUGGAAUUCCGAGUGUAGAGGUGAAAUUCGUAGAUAUUCGGAAGAACACCAGUGGCGAAGGCGGCUCACUGGACUGGUAUUGACGCUGAGGUGCGAAAGCGUGGGGAGCAAACAGGAUUAGAUACCCGUGUAGUCCCUGUCUCUUAUAC
rnacentral:rRNA from 1 species